AUGUCCAAGCUUGUGGGACUGCAAUUCUCGUUCAAGUACCGGCGCGGUGUUGACAAUGGUGCCGCAGAUGCAUUGUCUCGCGUCGGGCAUCUUCUUUCCCUCGAUGCCAUCUCCGUGUGCCAACCACAGUGGCUGCAAGAAGUCGCGAACUCAUACGAGACGGACGCUGACGCCCAAGAUCUGCUGCAACGGUUGGCUGUCUUCAGUCCGGAUGAGCAUGGCUACGAGCUCAGGCAAGGCGUGAUCCGCCUUCAGGACCGGCUAUGGAUUGGUGCCAACACUGCACUCCAGACCAAACUAAUCAGUGCUUUCCAUGCCAGCGCAAUUGGGGGUCACUCUGGAGUCACGACCACAUAUCAGCGCCUCAAGAAGCUAUUUGCCUGGCGGGGCCUCAAGCAGGCCGUGGAGGAAUUCGUGCACCAGUGUGCCGUUUGCCAACACGCCAAGCACGAGCAUAUCAAGCCACCCGGACUGCUGGAACCUCUGCCCAUCCCUACAGAGCCGUGGCAUGACCUCACCAUGGACUUCAUCGAAGGUUUGCCACUGUCUGAGGGCUGUGAGGUGAUCAUGGUCGUUGUUGACCGGUUCACUAAGUACGCGCAUUUUGUGCCCUUGCGUCACCCCUUCACAGCAGCAACAGUGGCGCGUGCAUUCUGGGACAGCAUCAUCAAGCUGCACGGGGUGCCACACUCGAUUGUCUCGGAUCGCGAUCCUAUCUUCACCAGCAAAAUGUGGCGUGCUCUCCACGACACCGCCGGCACCAAGCUCAGUUACUCGACAGCAUAUCACCCUCAGACGGAUGGACAGAGCGAGCGCGUCAAUCAAUGCCUCGAGAUGUAUCUGCGAUGUGCGGUGCAUGACAAUCCCAAGCAGUGGCGAAAGUGGCCGUCCACGGCUGAGUUCUGGUACAAUACCACCUAUCACUCAUCGCUAAACACAACACCGUUCCAGGCACUCUACGGCAAAGAACCCAACCUGGGUGGUCUACCUACUUUGGCCACCAGGUUGCCCGCGGAUGCAAGCACCGAGCUGGACUGGGCAACUCACAGUGGCUGGCUCCGUGAUCAAUUGGCGCGGGCUCAAAACAGGUGCAAGCAAAAGACUGAUCGCAAUCGUACAGAGCGUUCCUUAGAAGUGGGUGAUUCAGUGCUGCUCAAGCUUCAGCCAUAUACACAGUCAACAGUGGCUAACCGCCCGUACCCCAAAUUGGCGUACAAGUUCUUUGGUCCAUUUCAGAUUCUGGAACGCAUUGGUCCUUUGGCUUACAAGCUCCAGUUGCCGGACGACGGUCGCAUACACCCAGUUUUUCAUGUCUCGCAGCUCAAGCCCUUCACUCCGGACUACAGUCCAGUUUUCUCAGAGCUACCCCGUGCACCGAACCUCACAGCGGCACCGGUACAACCUAUUGCCAUUCUCGAACGUCGCAUGGUGAAGAAAGGCAACAACUCAAUUGUGCAGGUCAAAGUUCAGUGGUCUUCGUUAGCUCCUGAAUCCUCGACCUGGGAGGAUUAUUCUGUGCUCCGUCAGCGCUACCCGGAGGCAAGCUGUUGGGAUGAAGACGCUCGCGCUCAAGGGGAGGCAAAUGUCACACCUGAUACAUGA
rnacentral:rRNA from 1 species